rnacentral:rRNA from 1 species
CCUACGGGUGACAGCAGUGGGGAAUAUUGCACAAUGGGGGAAACCCUGAUGCAGCGACGCCGCGUGAGUGAAGAAGUAUCUCGUUAUGUAAAGCUCUAUCAGCAGGGAAGAAAAUGACGGUACCUGACUCAGAAGCCCCGUCUAACUACGUUCCAGCAGCCGCGGUAAUACGUAGGGGGCGAGCGUUAUCCGGAUUUACUGGGUGUAAAGGGAGCGUAGACGGCGGUGCAAGUCUGGUGUGAAAGGCGGGGGCUCAACCCCCGAACUGCAGUGGAAACUGGAAGGCUUGAGUGCAGGAGAGGUAAGUGGAAUUCGUGGUGUAGCGGUGAAAUGCGUAGAGAUUAGGAGGAACUCCGGUGGCGAAGGCGGCUGACUGGACUGUAACUGACGUUGAGGCUCGAAAGCGUGGGGAGCAAACAGGAUUAGAUACCCCAGUAGUC